AGUGAACGCGGGCGGCGUGCCUAAAACAUGCAAGUCGAAGGAAGUGGCGCACGGGUGAGUAAUAUAAAGCUAAUAUGCCCCUGGCUGGAGGACAACCGUUAGAAAUGACUGCUAAUACCCCAUAGCAAGGGAUUAGACUAUAUCGUAUCAGCUAGUCGGUGGGGUAACGGCCAACCGAGGCUAUGACGCGUAACAGGUCUGAGAGGAUGAUCAGGUACGUUGGUACUGCGACACGGUCCAGGCUCCUAUGGGCAGCAGCAGUAGGGAAGAUUGCGCAAUGGUGGUAGCGCUGUCGCAGCACCCUCGCGCGGAGGCUGUUUCUUUUCGGAGCGUGACCUCGUUUUGUGUGCGAAGCCGUAAUGACCGUGUAAUCGCCGGCUAACUCCGUGUCAGCAGCCGCGGUAAUAC
rnacentral:rRNA from 1 species